rnacentral:rRNA from 2 species
UCCGUAGGUGAACCGCGGAGGGAUCAUUA